AGCUUGUUAUUGCAGCUAUCACCUAUUUAUUUACACAGGCAGCUACACUGGAUGUUGAUGUCAGGGCUUGUGAGGUUCCUCAGUCAGAAAUACGCCUACAGGGGGUGGGGUGUUCCUGUUGAUUUUCCACUACCGGGAACUCAUAAAUUUCAUCUUCCAAGUUAAAACGAGACCUACCACAAAACUGGACCAAGAGGCUAUAUUUGUGACUGCCAGGAGGAAUAAAACAAGAAUAUCAAGAAUUAGAGCCAAACGAAAAUUUCUGAUAGUAACAUUAAUCAAAUGUUCUCACUGUCGAGAAGUGUUGACAGAUGAUCAGACUCCUUUAUGUGGAAGAGAAGAGAAGAGAAGAG